rnacentral:pre_miRNA from 1 species
CUUAUACUCCUUUCGUUCGAAAAUACUUUCCUAGAGAUGAAUGUAUCUAGACUUAUUUUAGUUAUAGAUACAUUCAUUAUAUUAAUUUUUAGGAUAAGUAUUUUCGGACGGAGAGAAUAUUAU